rnacentral:rRNA from 1 species
UACAGAGGGGGCAAGCGUUGUUCGGAAUUACUGGGCGUAAAGCGCGCGUAGGCGGCUUUGCAAGUCGGGUGUGAAAUCCCCAGGCUUAACCUGGGAACUGCAUUCGAGACUGCAUUGCUAGAGUAUGGGAGAGGGAAGUGGAAUUUCCGGUGUAGCGGUGAAAUGCGUAGAUAUCUGAAGGAACAUCAGUGGCGAAAGCGACUUCCUGGACCAAUACUGACGCUCAUGUGCGAAAGCGUGGGGAGCAAACAGG